AUUGAACGCUGGCGGCAGGCUUAACACAUGCAAGUCGAACGAGUGGCGGACGGGUGAGUAAUGCUUGGGAAUCUCGCUUAUGGAGGGGGAUAACUACGGGAAACUGUAGCUAAUACCGCGUACCAUAGGAUGAGCCCAAGUGGGAUUAGGUAGUUGGUGGGGUAAAGGCUCACCAAGCCGACGAUCUCUAGCUGGUCUGAGAGGAUGACCAGCCACACUGGGACUGAGACACGGCCCAGACUCCUACGGGAGGCAGCAGUGGGGAAUAUUGCACAAUGGGGGAAAGCUGAUGCAGCCAUGCCGCGUGUAUGAAGAAGGCCUUAGGGUUGUAAAGUACUUUCGGUAGGGAGGCGUUACCUACAGAAGAAGCACCGGCUAACUCCGUGCCAGCAGCCGCGGUAAUAC
rnacentral:rRNA from 1 species